UACGUAGGGGGCGAGCGUUGUCCGGAAUUACUGGGCGUAAAGCGCGCGCAGGUGGUGCGGCAGGUCCGGCGUGAAAGCUCCCGGCUUAACCGGGAAGGGUCGUCGGAAACCGUCGUACUGGAGGGCGGCAGAGGAGCGUGGAAUUCCCGGUGUAGUGGUGAAAUGCGUAGAGAUCGGGAGGAACACCAGUGGCGAAGGCGGCGCUCUGGGCCGCACCUGACGCUGAGGCGCGAAAGCGUGGGGAG
rnacentral:rRNA from 1 species